rnacentral:rRNA from 1 species
AACCCGGUGAUCUAGCCAUGGGCAGGUUGAAGGUUGGGUAACACUAACUGGAGGACCGAACCGACUAAUGUUGAAAAAUUAGCGGAUGACCUGUGGCUGGGGGUGAAAGGCCAAUCAAACCGGGAGAUAGCUGGUUCUCCCCGAAAGCUAUUUAGGUAGCGCCUCGUGAAUUCAUCUCCGGGGGUAGAGCACUGUUUCGGCUAGGGGGCCAUCCCGGCUUACCAACCCGAUGCAAACUGCGAAUACCGGAGAAUGUUAUCACGGGAGACACACGGCGGGUGCUAACGUCCGUCGUGAAGAGGGAAACAACCCAGACCGCCAGCUAAGGUCCCAAAGUCAUGGUUAAGUGGGAAACGAUGUGGGAAGGCCCAGACAGCCAGGAUGUUGGCUUAGAAGCAGCCAUCAUUUAAAGAAAGCGUAAUAGCUCACUGGUCGAGUCGGCCUGCGCGGAAGAUGUAACGGGGCUAAACCAUGCACCGAAGCUGCGGCAGCGAACGUAUCACUUAAAACGAUUCAGAAGCUUACGAUUGACGGAGCGAAGCGACGUCAAAGCGUAUACAAAGUCGAGUCGGUUUAAGGAUACGUUCGUUGGGUAGGGGAGCGUUCUGUAAGCCUGCGAAGGUGGCCUGUGAGGGUUGCUGGAGGUAUCAGAAGUGCGAAUGCUGACAUAAGUAACGAUAAAGCGGGUGAAAAGCCCGCUCGCCGGAAGACCAAGGGUUCCUGUCCAACGUUAAUCGGGGCAGGGUGAGUCGACCCCUAAGGCGAGGCCGAAAGGCGUAGUCGAUGGGAAACGGGUUAAUAUUCCCGUACUUGGUGUUACUGCGAAGGGGGGACGGAGAAGGCUAUGUUGGCCGGGCGACGGUUGUCCCGGUUUAAGCGUGUAGGCUGACUUUCCAGGCAAAUCCGGAGAGUCAAGGCUGAGGCGUGACGACGAGGCACCACGGUGCUGAAGCAACAAAUGCCCUGCUUCCAGGAAAAGCCUCUAAGCAUCAGGUAACAUCAAAUCGUACCCCAAACCGACACAGGUGGUCAGGUAGAGAAUACCAAGGCGCUUGAGAGAACUCGGGUGAAGGAACUAGGCAAAAUGGUGCCGUAACUUCGGGAGAAGGCACGCUGACACGUAGGUGAAGUGAUUUACUCAUGGAGCUGAAGUCAGUCGAAGAUACCAGCUGGCUGCAACUGUUUAUUAAAAACACAGCACUGUGCAAACACGAAAGUGGACGUAUACGGUGUGACGCCUGCCCGGUGCCGGAAGGUUAAUUGAUGGGGUCAGCGCAAGCGAAGCUCCUGAUCGAAGCCCCGGUAAACGGCGGCCGUAACUAUAACGGUCCUAAGGUAGCGAAAUUCCUUGUCGGGUAAGUUCCGACCUGCACGAAUGGCGUAAUGAUGGCCAGGCUGUCUCCACCCGAGACUCAGUGAAAUUGAACUCGCUGUGAAGAUGCAGUGUACCCGCGGCAAGACGGAAAGACCCCGUGAACCUUUACUAUAGCUUGACACUGAACAUUGAGCCUUGAUGUGUAGGAUAGGUGGGAGGCUUUGAAGCGUGGACGCCAGUCUGCGUGGAGCCGGCCUUGAAAUACCACCCUUUAAUGUUUGAUGUUCUAACGUGGACCCGUGAUCCGGGUUGCGGACAGUGUCUGGUGGGUAGUUUGACUGGGGCGGUCUCCUCCUAAAGAGUAACGGAGGAGCACGAAGGUUGGCUAAUCCUGGUCGGACAUCAGGAGGUUAGUGCAAUGGCAUAAGCCAGCUUGACUGCGAGCGUGACGGCGCGAGCAGGUGCGAAAGCAGGUCAUAGUGAUCCGGUGGUUCUGAAUGGAAGGGCCAUCGCUCAACGGAUAAAAGGUACUCCGGGGAUAACAGGCUGAUACCGCCCAAGAGUUCAUAUCGACGGCGGUGUUUGGCACCUCGAUGUCGGCUCAUCACAUCCUGGGGCUGAAGUAGGUCCCAAGGGUAUGGCUGUUCGCCAUUUAAAGUGGUACGCGAGCUGGGUUUAGAACGUCGUGAGACAGUUCGGUCCCUAUCUGCCGUGGGCGCUGGAGAACUGAGGGGGGCUGCUCCUAGUACGAGAGGACCGGAGUGGACGCAUCACUGGUGUUCGGGUUGUCAUGCCAAUGGCACUGCCCGGUAGCUAAAUGCGGAAGAGAUAAGUGCUGAAAGCAUCUAAGCACGAAACUUGCCCCGAGAUGAGUUCUCCCUGAGACUUUGAGUCUCCUGAAGGAACGUUGAAGACGACGACGUUGAUAGGCCGGGUGUGUAAGCGCAGCGAUGCGUUGAGCUAACCGGUACUAAUGAACCGUGAGGCUUAACCUUACAACGCCGAAGCUGUU